rnacentral:rRNA from 1 species
CCUACGUGGGGCAGCAGUGAGGAAUAUUGGUCAAUGGGCGCGAGCCUGAACCAGCCAAGUAGCGUGAAGGAUGACUGCCCUCUGGGUUUUAAACUUCUUUUAUAUGGGAAUAAAGUGUUCCACGUGUGCCAUUUUGUAUGUACCGUAUGAAUAAGGAUCGGCUAACUCCGGGCCAGCAGCCGCGGUAAUACGGAGGAUCCGAGCGUUAUCCGGAUUUAUUGUGUUUAAAGGGAGAGUAGGGGGAUUGUUAAGUCAGUUGUGAAAGUUUGCGGCUCAACCGUAAAAUUGCAGUUGAAACUGGCAGUCUUGAGUACAGUAGAGGUGGGCGGAAGUCGUGGUGUAGCGGUGAAAUGCUUAGAUAUCACGAAGAACUACGAUUGCGAAGGCAGCUAACUGGACUGCAACUGACACUGAUGCGCGAAAGUGUGGGUAUCAAACAGGAUUAGAUACCCGAGUAGUC